GAUGAACGCUUUCGAUAGGCUUAACACAUGCAAGUCGAGGGGUAACGUGUUGGAAGCUUGCUUCCGAUGACGACGACCGGCGGAUGGGUGCGUAACGCGUAUGCAACUUGCCUCACAGAGGAGAAUAACCCGGAGAAAUCCGGACUAAUGCUCCAUACACUCUUUAGCACGCCUGUGCGUAAGAGGAAAGAUUUAUCGCUGUGAGAUAGGCAUGCGUCCUAUUAGGUAGUUGGUGAGGUAACGGCUCACCAAGCCGACGAUAGGUAGGGGUGCUGAGAGGCAGAUCCCCCACAUUGGGACUGAGACACGGCCCAAACUCCUACGGGAGGCAGCAGUGAGGAAUAUUGGUCAAUGGAGGAAACUCUGAACCAGCCAAGUCGCGUGAAGGAAGAAUGUCCUAAGGAUUGUAAACUUCUUUAGCGAGUGAGUAAGGACUUCCACGCGUUGGGAGUUUGAAAGUAGCUCGAGAAUAAGUAUCGGCUAACUCCGUGCCAGCAGCCGCGGUAAUACGGAGGAUACGAGCGUUAUCCGGAUUUAUGGGUUUAAAGGGUGCGCAGGUGGUCCUGCAAGUCAGUGGUGAAAAGCUGAGGCUCAACCUCAGCCUUGCCGUUGAAACUGCAAGACUUGAGAGUACAUGAUGUGGGCGGAAUGCGUAGUGUAGCGGUGAAAUGCAUAGAUAUUACGCAGAACUCCGAUUGCGAAGGCAGCUCACAAAGGUAUGUCUGACACUGAGGCACGAAAGCGUGGGGAGCAAACAGGAUUAGAUACCCUGGUAGCCCACGCCGUAAACGAUGAUUACUCGAAGUAUGCGAUAUGACAGUAUGCUUCCAAGCGAAAGUGAUAGGUAAUCCACCUGGGGAGUACGCCGGCAACGGUGAAACUCAAAGGAAUUGACGGGGGCCCGCACAAGCGGAGGAACAUGUGGUUUAAUUCGAUGAUACGCGAGGAACCUUACCCGGGAUUGAAAUGUAUGUGCGCCUCUUGGGAAACCGAGAGGGUUCUCUUCGGAGACACAUAUGUAGGUGCUGCAUGGUUGUCGUCAGCUCGUGCCGUGAGGUGUCGGCUUAAGUGCCAUAACGAGCGCAACCCUUAUCGUCAGUUACUAACAGGUUAAGCUGAGGACUCUGGCGAGACUGCCGUCGUAAGGCGAGAGGAAGGUGGGGAUGACGUCAAAUCAGCACGGCCCUUACAUCCGGGGCGACACACGUGUUACAAUGGUAGGGACAGAGAGUAGCCACUCGGCGACGAGGAGCGGAUCUUGAAACCCUAUCUCAGUUCGGAUCGGAGUCUGCAACUCGACUCCGUGAAGCCGGAUUCGCUAGUAAUCGCGCAUCAGCCAUGGCGCGGUGAAUACGUUCCCGGGCCU
rnacentral:rRNA from 1 species